rnacentral:rRNA from 1 species
AUUGAACGCUGGCGGCAUGUCUUACACAUGCAAGUCGAACGGCAGCGCGGACUUCGGUCUGGUGGCGAGUGGCGAACGGGUGAGUAAAGCAUCGGAACGUACCCGGAAGUGGGGGAUAACGUAGCGAAAGUUACGCUAAUACCGCAUAUUCUGUGCGCAGGAAAGAGGGGGAUCUUCGGACCUCUUGCUUUCGGAGCGGCCGAUGUCAGAUUAGCUAGUUGGUGGGGUAAAGGCCUACCAAGGCGACGAUCUGUAGCGGGUCUGAGAGGAUGAUCCGCCACACUGGGACUGAGACACGGCCCAGACUCCUACGGGAGGCAGCAGUGGGGAAUUUUGGACAAUGGGCGCAAGCCUGAUCCAGCCAUGCCGCGUGAGUGAAGAAGGCCUUCGGGUUGUAAAGCUCUUUCGGCCGGGAAGAAAUCGCACCAGUUAAUACCUGGUGUGGACGACGGUAUCGGAAUAAGAAGCACCGGCUAACUACGUGCCAGCCGCCGCCGUAAUAC